AAUAGAUACCCAGGUAGUCCACGCCGUAAACGAUGAGUGCUAAGUGUUAGAGGGUUUCCGCCCUUUAGUGCUGCAGCUAACGCAUUAAGCACUCCGCCUGGGGAGUACGGCCGCAAGGCUGAAACUCAAAGGAAUUGACGGGGGCCCGCACAAGCGGUGGAGCAUGUGGUUUAAUUCGAAGCAACGCGAAGAACCUUACCAGGUCUUGACAUCCUCUGCCAACCCUAGAGAUAGGGCGUUCCCCUUCGGGGGACAGAGUGACAGGUGGUGCAUGGUUGUCGUCAGCUCGUGUCGUGAGAUGUUGGGUUAAGUCCCGCAACGAGCGCAACCCUUGAUCUUAGUUGCCAGCAUUCAGUUGGGCACUCUAAGGUGACUGCCGGUGACAAACCGGAGGAAGGUGGGGAUGACGUCAAAUCAUCAUGCCCCUUAUGACCUGGGCUACACACGUGCUACAAUGGAUGGUACAAAGAGCUGCGAACCUGCGAGGGUAAGCGAAUCUCAUAAAGCCAUUCUCAGUUCGGAUUGGU
rnacentral:rRNA from 1 species